GCGGCCUGGGUCUCGGAGGGCGGCGGCCCGUGCUCCGCUUUCUCCCGAGGGGCUGCGCUUCGGCCUUUGUGGGGCGGGGGCGUCCCGGCGGCUGGGGCAGGAUGGGGGGGCCGCUGACGUCCGCGAGGGCGGGGCGCGCUUGUUUUCGCGGCCGCGGGCGUUUGGCCGGAGGUUCGGGGCGGGCGGGCGAGCGAGCGAGCGAGCGAGCGGCCGCGGCGUUAGGCCUGGAGGGGCCGCUUGUGGGCUCCCGGUGCGAGCAUCUCCCGACGGACCCGAGCUCCGGGCCGCCGCACGCGCCGGCCCUGGCCGGCUUUUUGUUUUCGUCCUUCCUCGCCCGCGCGCCCGCCGUGCUCAGGGAAGCGCCCGGCUCGCCUCGGCUCGGCUCGGCUCGGCUGCGGAGCUGCGCCUCCCCGGGAUCCGAGGCGCGGCGGGGCCCACGGAGACCGGGGCCGGGUAUUGUGUCCAGGAGGCCAGAAGAGGGCAUCAGAGCCCCCAAAGCCGGAAUAAAAAGGUGGUGACCUCCAGGCCAACCAGGACUGAAUGUGCAUAAUGAGGCUAACCCUUUGAAUCAGGAGUCUGGGGAGCAGAGGGGGUUAGAACUCAGAUGAAAAAGUGCCUGGAGUGUCUGAGGCCCUGGGUCAGUCCCCAGAAGAAACAAAUCCUCAGCCCUCAGCUAUAGCACGCAAGCCUUAGGCUCCAAGGGAUUGUAACACUUCAGUAGCACCCCACUUCCUGGCUCCUCAGACCGGCUGAGGCCUGUGUGUAAGCGAUUGGCCAGGCUCCUGGCUCCAGG
rnacentral:lncRNA from 1 species